rnacentral:misc_RNA from 1 species
AUGCGAUAAGUAAUGUGAAUUGCAGAAUUCCGUGAAUCAUCGAAUCUUUGAACGCAUAUUGCGCCCUCUGGUAUUCCGGAGGGCAUGCCUGUCCGAGCGUUAUUACAAUCUUCAAGCAUGGCUUGGUUAUUGAGCCAAUUGUUCUUUAAUGGACAGGCUUGAAAUGCAGUGGCGAUGCCAAGUCCUGGUGCCCGAGCGUAUGGAGCUCUGUCACACGCUUUAGUGGCCCAGCCGGCAUUUCGUCGAUUAAACCUUUUAUAAAACCUAAGAUUUAACCUCGGAUCAGGUAAGGAUACCCGCUGAACUUAA